rnacentral:rRNA from 1 species
GAAAGGCUUCGGCCGGACAGGGAUGGGCAUGCGGCGCAUUAGGCAGUAGGCGGGGUAACGGCCCACCUAACCGACGAUGCGUAGGGGUUCUGAGAGGAAGGUCCCCCACACUGGUACUGAGACACGGACCAGACUCCUACGGGAGGCAGCAGUGAGGAAUAUUGGUCAAUGGUCGGGAGACUGAACCAGCCAAGCCGCGUGAGGGAGGAAGGUACAGAGUAUCGUAAACCUCUUUUGUCAGGGAACAAAGACUGGGACGCGUCCCCGGAUGAGUGUACCUGAAGAAAAAGCAUCGGCUAACUCCGUGCCAGCAGCCGCGGUAAUACGGAGGAUGCGAGCGUUAUCCGGAUUUAUUGGGCUUAAAGGGUGCGCAGGCGGUCUGUUAAGUCAGCGGUCAAAGCCCGGGGCUCAACCCCGGCCCGCCGUUGAAACUGGCAGUCUCGAGUUGGAGAGAAGUAUGCGGAAUGCGCGGUGUAGCGGUGAAAUGCAUAGAUAUCGCGCAGAACUCCGAUUGCGAAGGCAGCAUGCCGGCUCCACACUGACGCUGAGGCACGAAAGCGUGGGUAUCGAACAGGAUUAGAUACCCUGGUAGUCCACGCAGUAAACGAUGAAUGCUGGCUGUCCGGGGGGACUGACCCCUGG